ACAGCUUUGCAUGAGUGCAUUACCAGGGGUAUUCCAGCUGAGCUCCCUCUGGGCAGGAGCAGCUAAUUAAUGGCAUGUUGGCUUCGAAGCUGCUGUGAGGAGAACCAGGAGUUGCCACUGAGCCAGGCAAGCCCCUCCAUUUCCCCACAACUGAAUUCCUCAGAUGUCAUUUCACGUUGUGCCACUGGUGAGGUUCUCGGAAUGUGCAUCCUCAAGGAGUCUCUGGAAUUUCCUGUCCACUUUUUGCAUCAAAGCAGCCGAGAAGAGGGUUUAUUCUAAAGUA